GAGGGCAAGGGCGUCGCUGCGAGGCGACGAACAGAAACCACAUAGAGGAGGCCUAGGACGCCAGACGAGCCGGCACUGGAUGGCGAAGUCUGAUGGUACAGCGUCUAGGGUAGAUGUGGCGUUUGUGCACCGACAGUUCACGUU
rnacentral:ncRNA from 1 species